UGGGGAAUCUUGCACAAUGGACGAAAGUCUGAUGCAGCAACGCCGCGUGGGGGAUGAAGCUUCUCGGAGUGUAAACCCCUUUCGACCCGGACGAAUGCCCGCAAGGGUUUGACGGUACGGGUAUAAGAAGCCCCGGCUAACUACGUGCCAGCAGCCGCGGUAAUACGUAGGGGGCCAGCGUUGCUCGGAAUUACUGGGCGUAAAGGGUCCGUAGGCGGUGCGGCAAGUCGGAUGUGAAAUCUCUGGGCUUAACCCAGAGGCUGCUUCCGAAACUGCCGCGCUAGAGUGUGGGAGAGGCGCGUGGAAUUGCAGGUGUAGCGGUGAAAUGCGUAGAUAUCUGCAGGAACACCCGUGGCGAAAGCGGCGCGCUGGACCACAACUGACGCUGAAUGACGAAAGCUAGGGGAGCAAACAGGAUUAGAUACCCUGGUAGUCCUAGCCCUAAACGAUCAGGACUUGGGGUGCCGCACGUUCGUGCGUCGUCCCGGAGCUAACGCGUUAAGUCCUGCACCUGGGGAGUACGGUCGCAAGAC
rnacentral:rRNA from 1 species